UGCAACUCGCCUCGCAUGAAGUCGGAAUUGCUAGUAAUCGCAGAUCAGCAUGCUGCGGUGAAUACGUUCCCGGGUCUUGUACACACCGCCCGUCACACCAUGGGAGUCGGUAACACCCGAAGUCGGUAGCCUAACCGUAAGGAGGGCGCCGCCGAAGGUGGGAUUGAUGACUGGGGUGAAGUCGUAACAAGGUAAC
rnacentral:rRNA from 1 species